GUGGGGAAUCUUGCACAAUGGGGGAAACCCUGAUGCAGCGACGCCGCGUGAGUGAUGAAGCCCUUCGGGGUGUAAAGCUCUUUCGACGGGAACGAUAAUGACGGUACCCGGAGAAGAAGCUGCGGCUAACUACGUGCCAGCAGCCGCGGUAAUACGUAGGCAGCAAGCGUUGUUCGGAAUUACUGGGCGUAAAGAGUACGUAGGUGGUUUGCCAAGUCCGAUGUGAAAUCUCCUGGCUUAACUGGGAGGGUGCGUUAGAUACUGGCAGGCUUGAGUGUGGGAGAGGAGAGCGGAAUUCCUGGUGUAGCGGUGAAAUGCGUAGAUAUCAGGAGGAACGCCUGUGGUGUAGACGGCUCUCUGGACCAUUACUGACACUGAGGUACGAAAGCGUGGGUAGCAAACAGGAUUAGAAACCCCAGUAGUCC
rnacentral:rRNA from 1 species